GACGAACGCUGGCGGCGUGCUUAACACAUGCAAGUCGAACGGAAAGGCCCUGCUUUUGUGGGGUGCUCGAGUGGCGAACGGGUGAGUAACACGUGAGUAACCUGCCCUUGACUUUGGGAUAACUUCAGGAAACUGGGGCUAAUACCGGAUAGGAGCUCCUGCUGCAUGGUGGGGGUUGGAAAGUUUCGGCGGUUGGGGAUGGACUUGCGGCUUAUCAGCUUGUUGGUGGGGUAGUGGCUUACCAAGGCUUUGACGGGUAGCCGGCCUGAGAGGGUGACCGGCCACAUUGGGACUGAGAUACGGCCCAGACUCCUACGGGAGGCAGCAGUGGGGAAUAUUGCACAAUGGGCGGAAGCCUGAUGCAGCAACGCCGCGUGCGGGAUGACGGCCUUCGGGUUGUAAACCGCUUUCGCCUGUGACGAAGCGCGAGUGACGGUAAUGGGUAAAGAAGCACCGGCUAACUACGUG
rnacentral:rRNA from 1 species